UCUGUUUUUUAGAUUAUUUAAUAGAUAAGAAGGAUGUUUUAAUAACGUUAAAGAAAUGGAAAUUUUAAGAUUUGCAGAGAAAUAGCUUGACAAAUUUCAUUUUAACAAAGUGUCUCAAUGUCGGAGUUCUAUCUCUUUGAAAUUUUUAGUAUUACAUUCUCUGUAAAAUAGAGGUAAUCAAUUUUGUGGAAUAGCCCAGGAUACUUAAAGAAACACAUUCUUGAAAAACUACUAGAAAAAUUGAAUGUUCUAACAUCAAUAAAAAAAAAUAAAU